CUCCUGUUAGCCUAGUGGUAAAGCUUUGAAUUGCCAAUCUGGAGACGGCGGGUUCGAUUCCCGUUCAGGUCA
rnacentral:tRNA from 1 species